rnacentral:rRNA from 1 species
GACGAACGCUGGCGGCGUGCUUAACACAUGCAAGUCGAACGGAAAGACCCUGCUUUUGUGGGGUUCUCGAGUGGCGAACGGGUGAGUAACACGUGAGUAACCUGCCCUUGACUUUGGGAUAACUUCAGGAAACUGGGGCUACUACCGGAUAGGAGCUCCUGCUGCAUGGUGGGGGUUGGAAAGUUUCGGCGGUUGGGGAUGGACUCGCGGCUUAUCAGCUUGUUGGUGGGGUAGUGGCUUACCAAGGCUUUGACGGGUAGCCGGCCUGAGAGGGUGACCGGCCACAUUGGGACUGAGAUACGGCCCAGACUCCUACGGGAGGCAGCAGUGGGGAAUAUUGCACAAUGGGCGGAAGCCUGAUGCAGCAACGCCGCGUGCGGGAUGACGGCCUUCGGGUUGUAAACCGCUUUCGCCUGUGACGAAGCGUGAGUGACGGUAAUGGGUAAAGAAGCACCGGCUAACUACGUG